AUUGAACGCUGGCGGCAUGCUUUACACAUGCAAGUCGAACGGCAGCACAGGGAGCUUGCUCCCGGGUGGCGAGUGGCGCACGGGUGAGUAAUACAUCGGAGCGUGUCCUGUUGUGGGGGAUAACUGCUCGAAAGGGUGGCUAAUACCGCAUGAGACCUGAGGGUGAAAGCGGGGGAUCGCAAGACCUCGCGCAAUUGGAGCGGCCGAUGCCCGAUUAGCUAGUUGGUGAGGUAAAGGCUUCACCAAGGCGACGAUCGGUAGCUGGUCUGAGAGGACGACCAGCCACACUGGGACUGAGACACGGCCCAGACUCCUACGGGAGGCAGCAGUGGGAAUUUUGGACAAUGGGGGCAACCCUGAUCCAGCCAUGCCGCGUGCAGGAUGAAGGCCUUCGGGUUGUAAGGUACUUUCG
rnacentral:rRNA from 1 species